UAGGGAAUCUUCGGCAAUGGACGAAAGUCUGACCGAGCAACGCCGCGUGAGUGAAGAAGGUUUUCGGAUCGUAAAGCUCUGUUGUAAGAGAAGAACGAGUGUGAGAGUGGAAAGUUCACACUGUGACGGUAUCUUACCAGAAAGGGACGGCUAACUACGUGCCAGCAGCCGCGGUAAUACGUAGGUCCCGAGCGUUGUCCGGAUUUAUUGGGCGUAAAGCGAGCGCAGGCGGUUUGAUAAGUCUGAAGUUAAAGGCUGUGGCUCAACCAUAGUUCGCUUUGGAAACUGUCAAACUUGAGUGCAGAAGGGGAGAGUGGAAUUCCAUGUGUAGCGGUGAAAUGCGUAGAUAUAUGGAGGAACACCGGUGGCGAAAGCGGCUCUCUGGUCUGUAACUGACGCUGAGGCUCGAAAGCGUGGGGAGCGAACAGGAUUAGAUACCCUGGUAGUCCACGCCGUAAACGAUGAGUGCUAGGUGUUGGAUCCUUUCCGGGAUUCAGUGCCGCAGCUAACGCAUUAAGCACUCCGCCUGGGGAGUACGACCGCAAGGUUG
rnacentral:rRNA from 1 species